GGCUCUUGAGGAAACAGAUAACACGGAAGUUUAAAUGAAGAUAUCAUGAUCUAUUUUAUUUGAUUCAUUUUCUUUAGACAUAAGAAUCCUAAAACUUAGCACACAGAAAUGCAUGAUACUUUUUGGCACAUAGUUUUCAUCUUUGAUUAAGUGUACAUUCAAAAAUCUGUCAUCAAUUAAAUGUUACAUCAUUUUUUAUAUAUUCCAUAAGUAUUGCAGUGUAAAUCAAAAGGCACAAAAACAUCACUUUCAUUACACCACGGUGACAUUUUCAUUUUGUACAGGAAGAAGGCAGCCUAGAUAUUUUUGUGAAAUUACAUCUGUUCUAGUUUAUAAUGUUUUAUUUCAAAUGUAUCUAUGAGAGCAAGAUCAGCAAGCUGAACAACUGAAGAAGAUAAGUGUUUGAGGAAGAAAACAAAAGAACAUCCAUAAUUCAUUAACCGUCUAAAUGAUAAGAAAAUCAAACAUGGAGAAUCCAAGGAUCUUAUGAUAUUGAAAACAACUUUGGGGUCUCCUUAUUCAGUCCAAUGAUUAGCUGCAAGCAUCCUCACCUGCACAAGCAGUCCUCUGGUAGAGCCUCUCAGGAGAUACCAGUAUCUGCCUCUUGUCAUCAAGCACUUUCUGGUAUUAGGAAGAGUAACUCAGUUUGGUCACUGCAUAUUGGAUGGAUCUCUGGUGGGGAGUCUCUGGAUGACUUUUUCUUCAGAUCCUGCUCUAUUCUUUGGCCAUAUAUAUCCUCCUGUAAGUAUUUU
ensembl:lncRNA